rnacentral:rRNA from 1 species
UAACGAAUCUUCCGCAAUGGGCGCAAGCCUGACGGAGCAAUACCGCGUGUAGGAUGAAGCGUCUCUGACGUGUAAACUACUGUCAGGGGUCAGAAACAAUGAUUGACCCCAAAGGAAGUGGCGACUAACUCUGUGCCAGCAGUCGCGGUAAUACAGAGGCCACGAGCGUUAGUCGGAAUCACUGGGCUUAAAGGGUGCGUAGGCGGCCAUGAAGGUCUGAUGUGAAAUCCCACGGCUCAACCGUGGAAUUGCGUUGGAAACCACAUGGCUUGAGUAGGACAGAGGUGAGCGGAACUGAUGGUGGAGCGGUGAAAUGCGUUGAUAUCAUCAGGAACACCGGUGGCGAAAGCGGCUCACUGGGUCCUAACUGACGCUGAGGCACGAAAGCCAGGGGAGCAAACAGGAUUAGAUACCCCCGUAGUCCCUGAGCGGGCUGGCAAGGCGCAU